CAAGAAGUAGUUUAAUGAAAAUAAUAACAUUGGAAGUUAUAGAUUAAGAUUUGUUGAUUUUACUUCUUGA
rnacentral:tRNA from 1 species